UGGGGAAUAUUGGACAAUGGGGGGAACCCUGAUCCAGCCAUGCCGCGUGUGUGAAGAAGGCCUUAUGGUUGUAAAGCACUUUAAGCAGUGAAGAAUACAUCAUGGCUAAUAUCCGUGAUGAACGACAUUAGCUGCAGAAUAAGCACCGGCUAACUCUGUGCCAGCAGCCGCGGUAAUACAGAGGGUGCGAGCGUUAAUCGGAAUUACUGGGCGUAAAGCGAGCGUAGGUGGUUUAUUAAGUCAGAUGUGAAAUCCCUGGGCUUAACCUAGGAACUGCAUCUGAUACUGACAAACUAGAGUAGGUGAGAGGAAAGUAGAAUUCCAGGUGUAGCGGUGAAAUGCGUAGAGAUCUGGAGGAAUACCGAUGGCGAAGGCAGCUUUCUGGCAUCAUACUGACACUGAGGUUCGAAAGCGUGGGUAGCAAACAGGAUUAGAUACCCUGGUAGUCCACGCCGUAAACGAUGUCUACCAGUCGUUGGGUCUUUUAAAGACUUAGUGACGCAGUUAACGCGAUAAGUAGACCGCCUGGGGAGUACGGCCGCAAGGUUA
rnacentral:rRNA from 1 species